ensembl:lncRNA LINC02164 long intergenic non-protein coding RNA 2164
AGGAGAAAGUGGUUUGCAGAAAAGAUGAGGUGCUGGCCUGACCACGGUGCGUGCCCCUUGGUCAACAAACAGAAUCUGAAGAAUCCAGGAAAUCACAAAGGAUUCUAAGAGGUCACAAAGACUGAUGUUAUCAGGCCCCAAAGCUUCUACAUGAGUGUCAAGAGAAAAAAUACCUUGAUCACUCAGGUGCCCUCUCCUCAGUUUUUCUCUGUCCAGGCUUGAAGAACUAUAACCAUUUCCAAGUUCUAAAAGGACAGGUGGGGGAGUUAUUUGUUUGUUUAUUUGUUUGUUUUGAUUUCAGAAAGAUGUGAACUCCAGGAUCUCUUGAGAGACUGCCAGAGCCAGCAGCCCCAAGGAUACUUCGAACAGUGGGCACUGGUGCAAUUCUAUAAAAAGAAACCAGAAACCAUUUAGAUGUGUGUCAGGAAGAAGCACUUCCAGAUGCUUGAGGAAAGAUGCAAGAUAGCAAGGUGGGAAUCUGAGAAACAAGGAGUUUAAGGAUUUUGCCAUAAGUCACCUAGAAGACGCAGGGUGAGGAAGGGAUUUGAACCUGAGCAUACUGACUCCAGAGCCCUCUUAGCUGCUCCGUGGAGCAGGGGCUUUCUGCAAAGUAGAGGUUCUGAUCAUCUACUGUUGCAUAAUAAACCAAAAUUUAGUGGUUUAAAAAACGCA